GAUGAACGCUGGCGGCGUGCCUAAUACAUGCAAGUCGAGCGAACAGAUGCGGAGCUUGCUCCUCUGACGUUAGCGGCGGACGGGUGAGUAACACGUGGAUAACCUACCUAUAAGUCUGGGAUAACUUCGGGAAACCGGAGCUAAUACCGGAUAAUAUAUUGAACCGCAUGGUUCAAUAGUGAAAGACGGUUUUGCUGUCACUUAUAGAUGGUUCCGCGCCGCAUUAGCUAGUUGGUAAGGUAACGGCUUACCAAGGCAACGAUACGUAGCCGACCUGAGAGGGUGAUCGGCCACACUGGAUCUGAGACACAGUCCAGACUCCUACGGGAGGCAGCAGUAGGGAAUCUUCCGCAAUGGGCGAAAGCCUGACGGAGCAACGCCGCGUGAGUGAUGAAGGUCUUCGGAUCGUAAACCUCUGUUAUUAGGGAAGAACAAAUGUGUAAGUAACUAUGCACGUCUUGACGGUACCUUAUCAGAAAGCCACGGCUAACUACGUG
rnacentral:rRNA from 1 species